rnacentral:lncRNA from 1 species
CUGCAGUUGGCGUAGAUGCGUGGUGGGGUCCGUGAAGGAGGAUGUCACCCCACGUGCUCCCCAAGUCUCAGGAACUGCUUCCAGCACAUCCAGAGCAAGAAGACCCUGCGGCUUUUGGUGACAAGGGCUGUUUUGUCUCCGUCCAGGGGAGCUGGGGAGCGGAGACUAAGCACAGGCGCCUCCGCCCGGCCCAGGGGCACAGUGUGGAGGAGGAAGGUGGCCAGCCGGAAGCGCAAGGAGAAGAGGCCGACCGUCCUGAAUCCUGUUACACUUGGGAUUUAGGUGCUUUUAGCCUGAAAAAAGUAUGUGUCCACUAA